GUACAGUUCAUAGUUCAAUGAGUCGAGCGGCAGGUGCUCACAGAUCUCCGCUAUUGACGAAAGAACCUCUUUUCACGACAAGCGGCCAACGAGUUCUCACGGCGUUAACAAGGCAUGAGUGGCGGGACCAAAGGUGGAAGCAACAACAAUAAACGCCCGUUCCAAAGAACCGACCUGUGUCUGUGUCGUCGUGGAGAGAGCUACAAUGAGAAUGAAUGACUCUAAACUCACGUGUCAUCUUCAUCUUCUUCCGUCUGCCAGCUGUUCCCAAAGUCAUUGACAUUUCCUACCAGAACGCCAUCUGGUUUGGUGAAAUCAUUGCCUGGUUUCCCAUCAUAGUCUCCACAGAGGCCACACAUCUGGUCGUAGUAGGAGCUGGAGGGACAAAGACGAAGUCAUGAUGGAAUUAAGAGAUAAAGAAGAAUGUCUUAAGAAGACUUAAAAGAUUACCAACCUGGGAACUGAGAUCUGGGCGUAAUGGUUUCCAUCCCAGCGCACCUGGAGGCCGAAGGUCGUCUUCAGGGUGAUGUACUGACCCGCGAGACUGAUGGUGAUGAAAGGUGAGGGGGAGUUGGGGAGGGCCACUCGCAGUCCGUUCACCUGGGGGAAGAAAAGAACAUAAAGACGGGUUUAAACCGAAGCUACCAGUAGCUGAGACUGGCGCUAAGCUCACAAUGGGCCAUGGGAACAAUUGUGAAAUUGCACUUCGCUAAUAUGCUAACAUAUCUGAAUGCUAACUUUGUUGAUCAGGAUCAUAUUACAGUUCUUUAGAAUCAAACAUUUUAAAUUGCCCCAAGCCUAAAUGUCUCUGCUAGGUAGAGAUAUUAAACGUGUGUUAGUCGAUAGAAAUAUGCACAAGUUAGAUCUGAAAAAGUAAACUUAUUAUUAUUAACUUGUUAGUAGAUAUUCUAUUUAGUGAUCAUGUUUUCUGGUGCUUGUUUAAAUUAAAUGUUCAAACAGUUUCUAGUGAUAGACUAUUUUAUAACAAUAGCAUUUUUAAAUGCUAAUGUAAAAAUAAAACCAAGAAAUAACAAAUUUUGAACAUUUUUGUGUAAAUUAUAAGAUAUGUAUACAGCUUAGACAUUAACAUUUCAUUUACUGCUUGUUAACAAUUCCAACCUAAAUGAUAUCAGUAUACACAGCAGAGUGAAAAGUGUGCCAACCAAUCCCAGUCUCCCCUACACUUAAUAUUUGUUAUAUAUUUGUGAUUUCCUGUCAGCUUAUCCAAUUUCACACGUGAAUAAAAACCCUGCAUACAGGGAUUUAGAUCUCAGGCUGGAUAAGAUGACGGAGCAUUGCCACUGACGGAUCAAAUUGCUGAUACGAUGAA